CAAAUACUCCCUCCGUCCGGAAAUAAUUGUCCUAAAAAUGGAUAUAAUGAAUGUAUCUAUAAUUAAAAUAAGUCUAGAUACAUUCAUCUCUANNNNNAGUAUUUCCGGACGGAGGGAGUAUGCA
rnacentral:pre_miRNA from 1 species